GGGCUCCGCAGGCGGUUUUUUAAGUCUGAUGUGAAAGCCCCCCGGCUCAACCGGGGAGGGUCAUUGGAAACUGGGGAACUUGAGUGCAGAAGAGGAGAGUGGAAUUCCACGUGUAGCGGUGAAAUGCGUAGAGAUGUGGAGGAACACCAGUGGCGAAGGCGACUCUCUGGUCUGUAACUGACGCUGAGGAGCGAAAGCGUGGGGAGCGAACAGGAUUAGAUACCCUGGUAGUCCACGCCGUAAACGAUGAGUGCUAAGUGUUAGGGGGUUUCCGCCCCUUAGUGCUGCAGCUAACGCAUUAAGCACUCCGCCUGGGGAGUACGGUCGCAAGACUGAAACUCAAAGGAAUUGACGGGGGCCCGCACAAGCGGUGGAGCAUGUGGUUUAAUUCGAAGCAACGCGAAGAACCUUACCAGGUCUUGACAUCCUCUGACAAUCCUAGAGAUAGGACGUCCCCUUCGGGGGCAGAGUGACAGGUGGUGCAUGGUUGUCGUCAGCUCGUGUCGUGAGAUGUUGGGUUAAGUCCCGCAACGAGCGCAACCCUUGAUCUUAGUUGCCAGCAUUCAGUUGGGCACUCUAAGGUGACUGCCGGUGACAAACCGGAGGAAGGUGGGGAUGACGUCAAAUCAUCAUGCCCCUUAUGACCUGGGCUACACACGUGCUACAAUGGACAGAACAAAGGGCAGCGAAACCGCGAGGUUAAGCCAAUCCCACAAAUCUGUUCUCAGUUCGGAUCGCAGUCUGCAACUCGACUGCGUGAAGCUGGAAUCGCUAGUAAUCGCGGAU
rnacentral:rRNA from 1 species